ensembl:lncRNA
GGGGGCAGUGUGCUUCUGCUUGUGUACCAGUUCAUGCAUGCACACAGGAAAUGCUGCUUUGUUUGCCAAAGAGUUUCUGAAAACUGAUUUUAUGAUUAAAAAUGAUUAUCUACAUGCACCGAUGGAUGAUUAACAUGAUUUGUAUGCCGGGGCGGAAAAAAAAGACAACGUCGGAUUGGAGGCGGAAAAACAGCCGGCAUCGCCAUUCCUGUUUCCCUCUGCUGAAACACGGGCGACGAGUAGGCGGGCAGGGGGAGGGAGUGAUGGGAGACAAGAAGAGCGAAAGGGAAGGGAGACCUGCUUGGUAUUCACCUGUCUCUCCGGAUCAAUAAAGUGGCUGCAGCAGGUCUCAUCACUCGGUUACAGGCACGGAGGAUGCCGUCCGUCACGCGGGGUCACCGGUCUGAGAGGAAUGCUCCGUGUUCGCGGAUGUCAGGGGUGGGAGAGAGCGUCCCGUGGGAGACUAAAGCCACAAUGACCCGACCCCACCUCCCGCCAAUCACUGCGGCACGUCCCGCCCCCCGUGUGGUUUGGUUUCCAGCAGCACAGGAAUUGUGAAACUCAACAUGCUACGUGGAAGAUUAAACUUCAACAUAACUCCGCCAUGAAAAUCCAGCUAAUGCAUCAAGUGUCAUGCAGAAAUGUGAUUAAUAGUCUACUUUUGAUUCCCACAUCCAACUAUCAAACUUCAAUUAUCUUUCAACAUCAUCAAUUGUUUCUCGACGGAGCACAUAUUGAUAGUCCAACAUGUGCGGAACAGUUUGAGGCCCGACUAAGCUGACAAGUCAUUUCCAUUCUAGUACCCUGACCUAAUCACCAUAUCUUAUUAUCAUCACACGAAAACACUAAUUACAAAGGCAGGGUGAACCUGAUUUAUGCUAAUGAGAACGUGAAUAUGCUACGGAUGCAUUAAUCUAGAGUAUAGGACCCUGCGCUGGUGUUAACUGUGAUUAGCAUGUGAUUACCAUAGCACGGGUUCUAUCUACGGGAAGCCCUGCUUCUGAUGGCUUUGUGAAUAUCUCGCUACUCGCUGGCAGAGAAUGAGACUGUGACUCUCCACGGCACGGGGAAAUAAUGGUAGUAAUACAAAAUGAACAAUUUUGAUUGUUUUCCUCUAAACAAAAAAUAUCUGAUUAGAAACAUAUCAAUUUGAGCAUGAGUUUAGCAGCUAAAACGUUAUAUAUUAUAGCUUUUUGUUGUAUGUGGGAGGAGAAGGAUAUAAGGAAUUAUAUGGGUUGGUCCACCCAACACAGCUGAAAAAUGAUGGAAAGUGAUGCAUUUCAGCGAAUUACCGUGGAUAAUGCAUUGAAGACCGUAUCUGAAAUUGUCAUAGAGACGGUGUCGUUGGUUCAAUAAAUAUCUCAAAACGUCAUCAAGUAAAAGCAAAUGUUCCUGAAUUGGUUUUUAUGGUUUUAGGAGACUGACGGGAUUUUUUCAAUCUUUUUAUUUUAUUUAGGAAAUCGAAGAGGGAAAAGACAAAAAGCAACAAUUUCAAGUGCCUCUUCUACUACUUACUUUAUUUACAUUCUCCUACACAACUCGCUUUAAAUGUACACAUGACACUUUGAUUGCACAUGUAUGGUAACAUUACCCUUCAUUUUUUGUUUGUUUAUUUAUUCUAUUGUAAAAAGGAUACAUUUUUGCUUUUCAAUUAUGUUUUUUAUUAUCGUACUGGGUUUGGCUUUUU